UACGGAGGGUGCGAGCGUUGUCCGGAAUCACUGGGCGUAAAGGCGCGUAGGCGGCCUGAUAAGUAGGGGGUGAAAUCCUGCGGCUUAACCGCAGGGCUGCCUUCUAAACUGUCAGGCUUGAGCACAGUAGAGGCAGGUGGAAUUCCCGGUGUAGCGGUGGAAUGCGUAGAGAAUCGGGAAGAACAUCAGUGGCGAAGGCGGCCUGCGUGGGCUGUUGCUGACGCUGAGGCGCGACAGCGUGGGGAGCAAACAGG
rnacentral:rRNA from 1 species